UACGGAGGAUCCGAGCGUUAUCCGGAUUUAUUGGGUUUAAAGGGUGCGUAGGCGGCCUUGUAAGUCAGGGGUGAAAGACGGUAGCUUAACUAUCGCAGUGCCUUUGAUACUGCAGGGCUUGAAUGUACUUGAGGUAGGCGGAAUGUGACAAGUAGCGGUGAAAUGCAUAGAUAUGUCACAGAACACCAAUUGCGAAGGCAGCUUACUAAAGUAUGAUUGACGCUGAGGCACGAAAGCGUGGGGAUCAAACAGG
rnacentral:rRNA from 3 species